GACGAACGCUGGCGGCGUGCUUAACACAUGCCAGUCGAACGGAAAGGCCCUGCUUUUGUGGGGUGCUCGAGUGGCGAACGGGUGAGUAACACGUGAGUAACCUGCCCUUGACUUUGGGAUAACUUCAGGAAACUGGGGCUAAUACCGGAUAGGAGCUCCUGCUGCAUGGUGGGGGUUGGAAAGUUUCGGCGGUUGGGGAUGGACUCGCGGCUUAUCAGCUUGUUGGUGGGGUAGUGGCUUACCAAGGCUUUGACGGGUAGCCGGCCUGAGAGGGUGACCGGCCACAUUGGGACUGAGAUACGGCCCAGACUCCUACGGGAGGCAGCAGUGGGGAAUAUUGCACAAUGGGCGGAAGCCUGAUGCAGCAACGCCGCGUGCGGGAUGACGGCCUUCGGGUUGUAAACCGCUUUGGCCUGUGACGAAGCGUGAGUGACGGUAAUGGGUAAAGAAGCACCGGCUAACUACGUG
rnacentral:rRNA from 1 species